UUUAUUUUAUUAAAUUGUGAUUUUAUUAUAUAGAACACAUAUCUUAGUAAACCGUUCUAUUUAAUAUAUCCAAAUUUUACACUUACAAUAUAAAUCGCCCCUCCUAGUUAACCGCUUUAUAUGUUUAACAUUAUUUUUAAAAAAAAUAAAAAGAAAAAGCUAAUACCAAGAGGCCCAAAAUUCUAACCUUAACUCCUUUUUCCUCUUAACAUAGCCGUCAUUCUCAUUUCCUCUUUCCUCAUCUCUCACGCACUUCCCUCCUCUAAAACCCUUACUCUUUUCUCUUCUCUCUUCAGUCGUCCUCAAUGUCUGAUCCUAAAAAACUCCGAGCUAUCCAAUUAUCUUCCUCUCAGUCGUCUUAUUCCUCUAUAUACAACUAUCCUAUUCGUCGUUGCAUCUCUUUCUGUUUCAACCCCAACUCCAACUCCGAUGCAGUACGGUGCGCGAAAGCUCGAACCAUUGCAAUUUCGGUUUUGCUCUGUUUAUGGUCAUUGUUGCGGGUUGAAUAGAAUUUUACAUUAUCGAGUGCGGCUUCACUAUUUGCGUGCACUAUUGAUAGAGGCGCUGUGGUGGUUGAGGUGGUGGAGACGUUGCGGUGGUCGAGGUUGGUGGAGGCGAUGGUAGUGGCUCAAGUUGGGGGAAGCGCUGCAAUUACGAACUAGUUACUAGUUAGCAGUUUAGCACACUAAUAAUUAUUAAGUUAGCAGUAGAAUUGUAUCAAAUGUACUCGACAUGUAAAUAUUUGAAUAUUUUUUUUUUGAAAGAUGUAAAUAUUUGAAUAUAAAGGAUAAUAAAAGUUCAUUUUAAUGUGAUA